CAAGGUUUCCGUAGGUGAACCUGCGGAAGGAUCAUUAUUGAAAUAAACCUGAUGAGUUGCUGCUGGUUCUCUAGGGAGCAUGUGCACACUUGUCAUCUUUACAUCUCCACCUGUGCACCUUUUGUAGACCUGGAUAUCUCUGAAUGCUAGCAUUCAGGUUUGAGGAUUGACUUUGUUGGGUCUUUCCUUAUAUUUCCAGGCCUAUGUUUCUUCAUAUACCCUCUAUAUGUUAUUAGAAUGUAAUAAAUGGGCAUUGGUGCCUAUAAACUUAUACAACUUUCAGCAACGGAUCUCUUGGCUCUCGCAUCGAUGAAGAACGCAGCGAAAUGCGAUAAGUAAUGUGAAUUGCAGAAUUCAGUGAAUCAUCGAAUCUUUGAACGCACCUUGCGCUCCUUGGUAUUCCGAAGAGCAUGCCUGUUUGAGUGUCAUUAAUAUAUCAACCUCUUCAGCUUUUGCUUGUUGAGUGUUGGAUGGUGGGGGGUCGGUGCUGGCCUCUCUUCCGAGGUCAGCUCCCCUGAAAUGUAUUAGCAGAAUAAUUUGUUGACCGUUCAUUGGUGUGAUAACUAUCUACGCUAUUAACGUGAAGCAGGUUCAGCUUCUAACAGUCCAUUGACUUGGACAAAAUUUUAUUAAUGUGACCUCAAAUCAGGUAGGACUACCCGCUGAACUUAAG
rnacentral:rRNA from 1 species